rnacentral:rRNA from 1 species
UACGUAGGGCGCGAGCGUUGUCCGGAAUUAUUGGGCGUAAAGAGCUCGUAGGCGGCUUGUCGCGUCGGAUGUGAAAGCCCGGGGCUUAACUCCGGGUCUGCAUUCGAUACGGGCAGGCUAGAGUUCGGUAGGGGAGAUCGGAAUUCCUGGUGUAGCGGUGAAAUGCGCAGAUAUCAGGAGGAACACCGGUGGCGAAGGCGGAUCUCUGGGCCGAUACUGACGCUGAGACGCGAAAGCGUGGGUAGCAAACAGG